rnacentral:tRNA from 1 species
AUAUAUAUAAUUAUAUGUAUUAAAAUAUAAAAUUAAAUUUUAGAUAAAUAUUUAAAUAUAUUUAUAUAUA